GCCUGAAUAGUUUAAUAGGUAAAACGGCUUACUUGUAAUAAGUAGAUAGCGGUUCAAUUCCGUUUUUAGGCA
rfam:Hebeloma cylindrosporum h7 unplaced genomic scaffold scaffold_62, whole genome shotgun sequence.